CAAACUGUAUCUCACUUGCGUCGUAGAAGUUACUCAGUGCACCAUUUCAUGCACAACCAUUUUACCCACUUUUAAUCACGGAUCAUUGUCUUAUAUGGAAAAGACAAAGUGAGUGGAACUUUUGAGAAGGAGUUCAUGGAUGUUGGACAGAAAACGGGGAGGAGAUACAAGGGAGAAGAAGCUACUGGAAAACAGAGUGGGGAGGAGAAAAGAAGAAGAAGAAAUUUAGAACGAGAUUGGUUAGAAGAAGCUUCAACAGACCUCUCAACACUCUUAAGCAAAGACUAAACAAUUCAUAUCACAAUUCGGAGGAAGUGGGAGACACUACAAUAGAAAAAGGGAAGUCACACACAUAGAAGUGGUGCACGGCCCAUGGAUUACUCUCGGCUGUUGCAAUUGCAAAUUGGAAAUAGAAUUUGUGUAAUUGGAUGUGCAAGGAACGUACAAGCAAAGAGUAGAGAGGAGUAGAGUGCAUGUGGGGCUGCUAUGUUGACAUGGAAGAGCACCAAAAUCACAAUUGAGAUAAUAGAAUGAAAAGGUGGACAACACCUUGUUUUCUUUUCAUUAUUGAUGUGACAUGGUUUCACGUGAUGCAACAUUUAAAGAAGCAAAAUACAAUGCUCUUUCUCACGUCUGAAACAAGAUAAGUGGAGGCCCCAAACACAUCACACCACGACAUUCCUUCUAUUUAUUUUAUGAAGUACCAAACACCACACUAUUUCUUGGUUUGAAAUGAAACAUGGUUUCCAUUUGGAAGAGAUGCAUUGAAAAAGAUGACAAAUGAGAAGAGGGGCCACGUUGAAAUAAGCAAGGUCACGUAUUUGGAGAAUUCUAGAGAAAGAUGUUGGCCACAAAGAAAUAUUUUAGUGUAGUUUGGAGUGGAGCAUACAUGAAGGGCCACCACUUUCACGGUUUUGGCUUGCAACAAACAAGGAAGCUACGUUCCAUUGAUCUCCAAAAUACAAGCAUCAUUUUUAAUGGAAAGAGGGAGCCACCUAAAAGAAGCAACACGUCGGUCCAGUAAAGAGAAGCCAACCACACGGCCUUGGCAAGAAGAGGAAGCAAUACAGCAAGCAAACUCUCCACAGCUGCAGCACGUAGGUAGCGUUCCAGCAGCUGAGAAUGAGCUUCCCGUCCAGCAGCAGCUCACGGUAGGGAGAAUCAAUGAAGACAGCAGUAGCAUCCAGUCUUCACACUGCAAGCACCCAUCCAUGUUGAAGGCAUCUCUCGGGUUUUUUUCCAGCCACCAUCAACAAGUCAUUUUCUUAUGGAAAAGAGGGACCACCAUUUGUGAAAGUUCACGUAAAGAAGAGGAGGAAAGUGGAGUUGAUGGCUUGCCAAUUCUCACAAGGAAGGGAGUUCACGGGAGAAGACUAUUGAUGAGAGAAUGGCUUAUAAAAAGAAGGCAGCACCAAAUCAGAUGAGAGGCAGGAAUUAGGAGUAGUGUAGGAACGGUCCUGGGAGGAGGCUCUGGCCUCUUUCUUUUCCAUUUCCAGUAGCAAGCUUUCUCAGUUUCCAUUUCAAUGCAAAAAUGUAGUUCUUAUUUCUCAAGCAGUAUAAGUUUGUCACAGUAGUUUGCUCGUUAAAUUUUUACCUAUUCAAGAAUUUUAUUUUCAAGUGUUCAAUCUUUUGAUGAAUUAAAUUUUCAGUAAAGUGCUUUUAA